rnacentral:rRNA from 1 species
AUUGAACGCUGGCGGCAGGCCUAACACAUGCAAGUCGAACGAGUGGCGGACGGGUGAGUAAUGUCUGUGAAACUGCCCGAUGGAGGGGGAUAACUACUGGAAACGGUAGCUAAUACCGCAUACCAUCGGAUGUGCCCAGAUGGGAUUAGCUAGUAGGUGGGGUAACGGCUCACCUAGGCGACGAUCCCUAGCUGGUGUGAGAGGAUGACCAGCCCCACUGCAACUGAGACACGGUACAGACCCAUACGGGAGGCAGCAGUGGGGAAUAUUGCACUAUGGGAGCAAGCCUGAUGCAGACAUGCCGCGUGUAUGAAGAAGGCCUUCGGGUUGUAAAGUACUUUCAGCGAGGAGGCGUUACUCGAAGAAGAAGCACCGGCUAACUCCGUGCCAGCCGCCGCGGUAAUUC